rnacentral:rRNA from 1 species
AACGAACGCUGGCGGCGCGCCUAAUACAUGCAAGUCGAACGAGAAUGUGUAGCAAUACACAUGUACAGUGGCGAACGGGUGAGGAUUACAUGGGUAACCUACCCUCGAGUGGGGAAUAACCAGCCGAAAGGUUGGCUAAUACCGCGUACGCUUCCGGGACUGCGGUUCCGGAAGGAAAGCGAUACCGUGGGUAUCGCGCUCUUGGAUGGGCUCAUGCCCUAUCAGCUUGUUGGUGAGGUAACGGCUCACCAAGGCUUCGACGGGUAGCUGAUCUGAGAGGAUGAUCAGCCACACUGGCACUGCGACACGGGCCAGACUCCUACGGGAGGCAGCAGUAAGGAAUAUUGCGCAAUGGGCGAAAGCCUGACGCAGCGACGCCGCGUGGGGGAUGAAGGUCUUCGGAUUGUAAACCCCUUUCGGGAGGGAAGAUGGGAUGGGGUAACCCAUUCGGACGGUACCUCCAGAAGCAGCCACGGCUAACUUCGUGCCAGCAGCCGCGGUAAUACGAAGGUGGCAAGCGUUGUUCGGAUUUACUGGGCGUACAGGGAGCGUAGGCGGUUGGAUAAGCCCUCCGUGAAAUCUCCAGGCUUAACCUGGAAAGUGCAGAGGGGACUGUUCAGCUAGAGGAUGGGAGAGGAGCGCGGAAUUCCCGGUGUAGCGGUGAAAUGCGUAGAGAUCGGGAGGAAGGCCAGUGGCGAAGGCGGCG